GCUUCUAUCGUCUAGAUGGUUAGGACGUAGGUCUCAUAGGUACAACUGUGAGCUCGAAUUACGAGUAGAUCCUGCAACCAGAGUUCGAGUCUCUGUGGAGGCA